CAAGGGGAGGGGCAGAGGGAGAGGGAGAAGCAGACUUCCUGCUGAGCAAGAAGCCUCAUGUGGGGCUCAAUCCCAGGACCCUGAGAUCAUGACCUGAGCCAAAAGGAAGAGUUGGACGCUUUAGCAACCCAGCCACCCAGAGUUUACUGCCAGGCACCCGUCACGACAUAAGUGUCCCGUCUCUGCUCCCCUGCCCCCAUGAUGAUUGAUGAUGAGAUUAGGGCUGCUAAGGCCCUCCUGCUUCUUCAGUGCACAUUUAAAAUGGAUCUCAAGGCUCUUUCUAAGGGGGCCCUGCCAGGUAAGCAAUAUCCAUGGGUUCCCUUUGUGAACAGUUGCUUCAUAAUUGCUGUUUUUGCCUUCAGAAUUUAGUAUUUUAUCCUGUAGGACUUAAGGAAUACAAAGAAAGAAGCUGCUUUUAGAAUAUUAGUCUUGUGGCUCUGUCAUGACUCUGAGCCUUUCAUGGGGAUCUGGGAAAUGAAAAGCAAGCAGGCUUCAUGUUCUAGGAAACUGAGAUCUGAUUUUAGGAAAUAUAAGAAAAAUUGAACUGUUAGGCCUGAAUGGCUCUGGUACUUUCAGUACCUUGCUUCAUCAAACUUAGCCUUUAUUGGUGUCUUAUUUUUGUAUUGUUUUGGAUCAGAA